AGGCCCUGUAUAUUACCAGUACAGCGCUAUAUAACAUACCAUACUAUUCGUGUUCAUAACUUGUAUGUCAUGCUGUAUAAGCUGAAGCUGCCAACUUGGCUUAUUUGUUGAGUGUUUUUUGCAAGAUAAGCUGGCAAAAUGUUUGUUGCAAUAGCUCUCAAAAAUCAGCAAAGCAUUUGUGAUCUCCAUGCAGUUGAGGAAAGACUACAGAAGCAGUGGAGAAAAGGGGAUUAUGUAUAGUGGAAGAGCCAAUCCAGUAGAAAAAUCAGCAUGGAAGAAAGAGAGCUGUAUUAUGUAUUAAGAGUGACCAGUAAAGCAGGUUCAAAUUGCCAGAGAGCAGCUAAGAGGCUAGAUAAGAAGAAAAAAAUUUGAUUAUUGUAAAUGAUUGCUGCUGUAAAGAUCAUCUUGUAGUGUCCACUUAAAAAUCAAAAGCAAGAAGGAAAGAAAAACCAAAUGUCACUACAAAAGUGGCAGGAGUCUGUGGUCUACAUGUGUUGGAUGGAACAGGCAUUAAGGUAAGAUGAAGUAGGAUUCAAGGAGAUCUCUGCAAGUUGGGAAGCUCCACCCCAAACAAAUUUAUGGCAAUUGAAAUUUCCCAAUGGAAACAGCAGUUCAAACAAGAAAGGAAUGUUAAGAUUAUCCAAGGGCAGGACUAGAAGAUAAGGAAUAGUAUUUAAUACCUGUGGAAAUAAUUGCUAGUCAAGAGUCCUAGACUGAAAAUCCUUCAUUGUCAUGAUGUUUACCUUUUUGUAAAUAGAUACAAAGAAAACUGAGAUUAACAUCUGAAGAUCAUGUCAGUUUUCUUUCUUACUUUAAAAAUUCUGUUGUAGGACAUAAAAUGCAGUAUAAUGAAAACCAGAAAAUGACAAAUACAGUACAGGGUGAACUUGCAGAGAAAAUGGGACAAUUAACUUCUUCUUUGUUGGAAGCCCUGAAAUUAAGUGCUAACAAUGUUGAGAAUUUAAAAAAAAAAAAAAUUCUGAAAUUGUAUAAUCUUCUGAAGGAAAGAACACCAAAAAUAUAUAAUUUGAUGGAUUUACGCAAACAAAAAAUUGGUGGUCUUGGCACAAUUUACACACUGGCGAUUUUUGCCCACUUUGUCUUAUUUUAAGUCAAUUCUUAGCUAUUUUGCUAGUAUGCUCUUUGUUCUAUCGAUUGAGGGCAAGAAACCUCCCAUUCUAAAGUGCACAGAAAUUGAUAAUUUGACUCGUAUUACACAAUUUCAAAAAUUUAAAGUCCAAACUAGACACUUUAGGCAUUCCAGCCACUAAAGCAACCUAUCCUUUCUUCAUUAAUCACAUUCCCAGGCCUCUUCUCAAUAGCACUUGCACUCCAUUUUGAAUUCAUCACACAGUUUUACCCUAUUUCUCAGAUAAUAAAAUUUAGACAGGAAUGAUUGAGCAUGGUUGAGGGUGUCCCAGUAAUUGAAGCAGACCUAGUUAAAACCCAUUCUAUCAAUUGAUACCAAGUAACAGUCAAUAAAACCAUAAAAACCACCUUCAGACCACCUCAAAGUUGCUAUUUUAAGUUAAACAUACGGUUAGAGGUUUACAUUUCUUCAUUAUGCACUGCACGAGGCAGGAUUUUCGUAUAUUGUGCACACUUAUUGCACAGAUCCAUUCUCUGUUGUCCAUGUAAAAAUUUACCACUCGCUGCAUAUUUGAAGGAACUGUGCUUAAAACAUUUCUUCGUGAGUGACACUGGUAUCGAUAACAUUGAUCUAUGUAUGGGAGUAAAAGUGUUAAUCAAAUUUUUUAGUUGGUAGGUCCAUGUAUGAGGGAACACAACACAAGGAGACAAAAGUGCAGAUGAUGUGGAUGGUAACAAGUAAUAGGAGUGGAAAGAUGUAGGCAAGUAGGCAGAUGCAACAGAAGUCACAACAGUAUACAGUGGAACCUCAAAUUUUGAACGUAUUGCUUAUCAAACUCUAUUUUCGAACCACAGGGUACCGGACCUGUCCGCCAGCCCGCCCUGUCCUUGUCCCUACGCAGGCGCCGUGAGCCAGUCUGGCUUUGUUGAUGCUUGAGUGAACAGUAACCUGCGGUCUCAUUCAAACAUUUUACAAUUAAUUCAUUGUGUUUAGUGCUUGUGGGACUGUGAAAUAAGCUACCAUGGGCCCAAAGAAACUUGCUAGUGGUACCACUGUGGUAAAGAAAGUGAGAAACACCAUAGAUGUGAAGAAGAAUAGCAUUCUUGGUAUAAGAGGCAUCAUUAUGAGGGUUGACACAUUCCAUAAGAACAUUACCAGUGGUGAAAAUUGAUCACUAUUGGGGAAGGGGGGGUCAGCAGAUACUGUAGAAGAAAAACUAAAUCAACAUCUGGAGCUCUAAACGUUCCUCGGGUGAGUUAAGAAAGAAGCAUCUUUGGUGUGUUACAGAGCGUAAAGAAUCCUUAUCUUGUUUAUCUAGCAGUGUGUUAUCUGUUUUUUCCAUUAUUAAGUCAAGUAUUAAAAUAUGUUUUGUCUUUAUAGUUGCUGCUGCUGUAUGACUCAUUUGGGUUUAGUGCUUUGUUGUGAAUAUAAUAACUAUUUAAUACAAGUGGUAAUGUUAGUAGAUUUUCAGAUAGUGUUGGUUCAACGUGUUCAAGGUGCUGGGAGAUGCUUUUUAUGAUGCCAGUGCUUCACAUUUCUGUUGGAGUUACCUUAAAUGAUAUAUUUGUUAGGGAAGUGCCUUGAUGCUGGUAAAGGGACUCUUGAUCCAAGGAAUUGGACUCCUCUUCCUUUGGAUUGAAUCGCAUUCCCCCAGGCUGUGUGAGACCUUUACAAAUGAAGAAGAAAAUAAGUGGCCAGAAAAAUAGACUGCCAAAAAGCAUGGACUGGCUAAUUGCUUCAUCUCAUCAUCCUAGCAAUACCAACUGGUUUAUUAAAGAUAUCUUACCUAUUUGUUCCAUGUCCUAUCUCAGAC